UACAGAGGUCCCAAGCGUUGUUCGGAUUCACUGGGCGUAAAGGGUGCGUAGGCGGUCGGGUAAGUCUGAUGUGAAAUCUCGCAGCUUAACUGCGAAACUGCAUUGGAUACUAUCCGGCUCGAGGAAUGGAGGGGAGACUGGAAUACUUGGUGUAGCAGUGAAAUGCGUAGAUAUCAAGUGGAACACCAGUGGCGAAGGCGAGUCUCUGGACAUUUCCUGACGCUGAGGCACGAAAGCCAGGGGAGCAAACGGG
rnacentral:rRNA from 1 species